UACGGAGGGUGCGAGCGUUAAUCGGAAUUACUGGGCGUAAAGCGCACGCAGGCGGUUUGUUAAGCUAGAUGUGAAAGCCCCGGGCUCAACCUGGGAUGGUCAUUUAGAACUGGCAGACUAGAGUCUUGGAGAGGGGAGUGGAAUUCCAGGUGUAGCGGUGAAAUGCGUAGAUAUUCGGAGGAACACCAGUGGCGAAGGCGGCUCACUGGCUCGAUACUGACGCUGAGGUGCGAAAGUGUGGGGAGCAAACAGG
rnacentral:rRNA from 1 species